AGAGUUUGAUCCUGGCUCAGGAUGAACGCUGGCGGCGUGCUUAACACAUGCAAGUCGAACGAAGCUCUUUGCGGAUUCUCGGAUUGAAGUAGAAGAUGACUUAGUGGCGGACGGGUGAGUAACGCGUGGGUAACCUGCCUCUGACAGGGGGACAACAGUUAGAAAUGACUGCUAACACCGCAUAAGCGCACAGUAAGGCAUCUUACAGUGUGAAAAUAUUUAUAGGUCAGAGAUGGGCCCGCGUCUGAUUAGCCAGUUGGCAGGGUAACGGCCUACCAAAGCGACGAUCAGUAGCCGGCUUUAACGAGUGAACGGCCACAUUGGAACUGAGACACGGUCCAAACUCCUACGGGAGGCAGCAGUGGGGAAUAUUGCACAAUGGGGGGAACCCUGAUGCAGCCAACGCCGCGUGAGUGAAGAAGUAAUUCGUUAUGUAAAGCUCUAUCAGCGGGGAAGAUAAUGACGGUACCUGACUAAGAAGCUCCGGCUAAAUACGUGCCAGCCGCAGC
rnacentral:rRNA from 1 species